rnacentral:rRNA from 1 species
UACGUAGGGAGCGAGCGUUGUCCGGAUUCAUUGGGCGUAAAGAGCUCGUAGGCGGCUUGUUACGUCGACUGUGAAAACCCGCGGCUCAACUGCGGGCCUGCAGUCGAUACGGGCAGGCUAGAGUUCGGUAGGGGAGACUGGAAUUCCUGGUGUAGCGGUGGAAUGCGCAGAUAUCAGGAGGAACACCAAUGGCGAAGGCAGAUCUCUGGGCCGUAACUGACGCUGGAGGAGCGAAAGCUAGGGGAGCAAACGGG